GUGGAUUUGCCAUUUUCAAUUUUGUUAAUUUUAGUAACUUUUGUCCUUCUCUACCGCUAUUUUUAAUAGCUCACAAUCCAUAUGAGCUACAAAUCUACUUGAUUUCAUUUUAAAAUGACAUGUAUUAUUACAACUCUAUUACCUAAUUCACAUGAACUAUUUUUAUUAGCUUCCAAUCCAGAUGACAUGGACCUCGAAACCACUUGCAUUUUGUUCACUUACCCUUCUUGUCACUGACCUUAGAUUUUCCAUUUUUAAUUGCAGGGAAUUUGCAGGAAUGUAUCUUUUUAAACAACUCUUUUUUUUUUUUAAUAGCUCGCUAUCCAUAUUAGCUAGAGAUCUACCAACAAGUAUGGUGUGUUCCUUUAUCACUGUUCUGAAAGGAAAACCUCAGAUUUUUUCCAAAUUCAUAAUAUUGAAUUUAUUUUAAAAUUACACGCAUUAUUACAAGUCCAUUACCUAAUUCAAAUGAACUAUUUUUAAUAGCCUCCAUUCCAGAUGGCAUGGACAUCCUAAAACCACUUGCUUUUGUUUACUGAGUACGCCUCUUAGUUUGCCAUUUAAAAUUUCAGUGAUUUUAUCAGAAUUGAUCCUUCAACACAAUCCUUUUUUAAUAGCUCACUAUCCUUAUUAGCUAGAGAUCUACAAAUAAGUAUGGUGUGUUCUUUUCCCUCUACUUUCACAGGUAAACCUUUACAUUUUUAUACCAAAUAUCGUGACAUUCAAAUUUUUGAAAAACAUUUUGUAAUUUAUUAAAAUGUAUUGUGUGUAAAUUGUUCUCAUUCUUUAAUGCAGGGGUGUCAAACCAGUUCUACGGAGGGCCGAUUGUCUGCAGGGUGGUGCAUAUUGGGCUGGUGUCGCCUUGGGGGAGGUAAUCGGCUUAGAGGAUUUCCUUGUGCCACCACGUUCUGCAACGUCUCUGGCGGCACAGGUGACUUUGACCUGGCCAUGCAUAUGAGUUCAGAAUGGGAGUAUGCUGUCACAAUUGAAGGAAGGCAGGACACGAGGAGCAGAGGUAUAUCAGGGUAAAAUCCUUUUAAUUGUAACAACAAAACAAAAGGAGAGGCAAACCGAGAUGGAAAAUAUAAGGCACUGUUGACAAGGAAGGUAAGUGAACAAAAUGCAAGUGAUUUUAGAUGUCCAUGUCUUCUGGAUUGGAAGAAAAUGUGAAAUAGGUAGAAGAGUUGUAAUUAUGUGUGUAAUUUUUAAAUAAAUUCCAGGUUAUUAAUUUGGAAAGUAUCAGAGGAAUACCUUUCAGAAGAGAGGUAAAGGAUCUCUAGCUCUUAGGGAUAGUGAACUAUUAAAAAAGCUCACAUUCCUGUUAAUUCACUGUAAUCGAAAAUGUCUAAACUAAGGGGUGUACUCUUGACAAGGAUGGUCAGUGAACAAAAUGCGAGUGGUUUUAGAGGUCCAUGUCAUCUGGAUUUGAAACUAUUAAAAAUAGUUAAAAGUUAUGUAAUGAGUAUAAAAUGAAAUACAGAUAAUGAGUAUUGAUAAAAGAGGUGUACCAUUCAGAAGAGAGGUAAAGGAACAGCCCACACUUGUUUGUAGGUCUCUAGCUUAUGUGGAUAUUGAGCUAUUCAGAAUGUAAUUCUGAUAUAAUCACUGAAGUCUAAAAGGGCAAAUCUAAAAGUCAGUGACCAACAUACAAGUGGUUGUAGGUGUACAUGUCACCCAGAGUACCGGAUUACAAGUAACGGAUUACAAAUAAACAGUAACUGUAAUCCGUUAUGUGAUCAACAUAAAUAUUGUAAUCGGAUUACAUAUACUUUUGAAAAUAUGUGUAAUCCGUUAUGUGAUCAACAUAAAUAUUGUAAUCGGAUUACAUAUACUUUUGAAAAUAUGUAUGAUUACUUUUGGAUUACUUCAGUUGAAAAAGAAUAGGCGCGUGAAAUAAUUAUGACACGUUGUAUGUUUGAGUUUAUUAUUUAAUGUUAAAAACAUUAUUUGAACCAAAAUAUGAAUUGCGCUCCUCAGUUGUGUGUGUCAUCAUCAUGCGUGCAAAGGUCGACGCGCAUAACCAGUUUAGUGACGGAGGAAGCGCUAGUUUAAAUUUCUCCAGUUUUGGUUGGUUGGAUGGCUGGUAAAACAGAGUAUAUCUUCAAUUAUAUUAGCCGAAACUAAAUAACAUUCUAUAUGAUAUCUACGCAUAAUUCCCAGAACAAUGACAGGCAAUAUGCCUACCAGGUGUUAUAUCUUUUUCAAGUUUUAAGGUUUAUUUGUGAAAUGCAUCGAACAACACAGCCAGGACGAGUUGCACCAAAUAACUUCUACAGGAAUUGUUUAAUAGAUUAGGCAACUAUUUGUUAGAUAGCUGUAACAUGGCGCUGCCUUCACAAUUAAACAUUAUAUGGAAUUUACCAUGACAUUUGGGGAGAAAAGGUGUGUUGGGAAGCACUCUGCCAAAGGAUGAUUAUUUGACACGGCCACAUUCAGUUAGGCUAUGUGAAUCUGCCUGCUUUGCAUCUCUGAAAAUGUUGUUCAUUGGUUAUCAUUGGCUGCUGACUUCAUUUAUUUUAACCUAAGAGUGCAGGUUUAUAAUCACAGUUUCUUUCUUUCAUUUGCGUUUUGAAAAUCCAUCACUGAUGGCAAUAAUAAUCGCAGGUUACAAUCGCGCAGGUAAAUCUUAUUUCUAUGCGGGUGUUCAUGAUUGCAAAUGUGCAUUCGCGUGCCAGGGGUUUCUGCAAAAAUUUUACAAUGUUGGCGGUGGAGCAAAUCAUCAGACUAAUGCAGAUGUAGUUUACGUGCGAAAAGCUACAGAUAUCUUAAUUUUUAUAUACAACAAUGUCAAUGCCCUUUUCGAGUAAUUUAUUUUACAACAAUGUUUUGAAGCAAUACAUUUUUUUAAUAAAACACAAAUAACACAACAGGCUUAAGCUUCAUUAGAUUUUGGGUUAUGUUCAGAUAGUCAGAUUCUGGAAGAUCAAGGUUUAUUGGAUUAAUUGGAAUUACUGAAUAUCUGACAGACUUUUGGUAAUGUAGAGUUGUAGCCCAAUCAUAUUGAAGUAAAAAGCAGUGGUUUAGAAACCCAUUUCCAAAGGCACUGUAGCCUACACAACCCAUAAGGUAAAAUGUGAAUUCCGUUUUUGGCCAACUAUGUAACAUUGAUUGAUCCCGCAAAAGGUGUUCAGUUGGUUAUAGGCUUUUCCUAUUUGUUUUCCAAUGCCUGUUAAUAUGAAAGUCAUUUAAAAGUAAUUCAAAGUAGUCAGAUAACAUUACUGAGUUUGAGUAAUCAAAACGUUACGUUACUGAUUACAAACGUGGACAAGUAACUUGUAACUGUAACGGAUUGCAUUUAAAGAGUAACCUACCCAACCCUGAUGUCAUCUCUAUAUGAAUCUAUUAAAAAUGAAAUAUAUAAGGUUCAACAAUCAAAAUAUAUCUAGAAAAGUAUAGUUUUGUUUAAUAACACAACAAGUGUCUGUACCUAUGAUUUUCCUUUACAGGGGCAGUUACUAUGAGGUUGACACAAAAUAAAAUAUAUAUUUUUAGUCACAUUGAAUCAGCGGUAUUGCACUUUCAUGACGGUCCCUGAACUACUGAACAGACAGUGUUUAGCGACAUUUUGUCUUCUGCUAAACGAAAAGUUAGAUUUUUGGUAAAAUCAAAGGGUGUACCUUGCUCUCUACCCUAAUCCAAUAGUAUAUAGGUCACUGUCGUCUAUGUACGAUUUUUUUGGAAGAGGUAUUGACGAUCAAACUCUGAAUAUCAAACAUAAAACCAAAUUUACCCCGGUCUCUGACCGAGGAUGAUGAUCGUUAUUUGAUGCAGCCACCUCAACUCCAUACAGAUAGGCCAUGUGAUUCUACUUGCUUUGCAUCUCAGAAAAUUGCGUUCAUUGGUUAUCAUUGGCUACUGACAAUAUCGAAUUAAAGCUAAGCCUGCAGGUGUAUAAUCAAAGUUUUUCUUUCAUUUGCGUUUUGAAAAUCCAUUGCUGGUGGCCCUAAUAAUCGCAGGUUACGUUCGCGCGGUUAAAGGCACCUGCACACGGGCCGCGGUAGCGGUGAAGUUCUCAAAGUUUCAUUUGGAGUAGGGCGAUUGGCGGCUUGCUUUACGGUGGAGGCGCCCAAAAGUUCAUUUCAGUUGAGCGCCCGCCUCUCAUGUCGACCAAUGAGCCGUGUUCAUCUUGUCAACCAAUCAAGCCCUCAUUCAGUGACAACAUCGAUAGGAAUAUAUGAGAGGAAAAAAUAGGGUUCAUAUAUUAUUGUCGGAAUUCCCAUAAUUAUACAAUUUACCUUUGCACUCUCAGGCCUACAGGGACAUAAACCAAAAAAUAUGCAAGGUGAAGGAGCGUUGGUGCAAUUGUGUGCUUAUCAGGUGGGUAUUAGGCUAUAUAUUGUUGACGCAAAAAGAGGAGAGUGGUUUUAUAAUACCGCAGUUUACUAGUUUGACUGGCUAGCUUAGUACGUGCACAGUUAGUGAAGUUGUUAAUUGAAUGUCAAUCGUCAUUAAUAAUACAAUAAUGUCAAUACCAUUUUCGAUAAAUAGCUGUUCAUUUUUCUACAAUGUUUUGAAGCAAUAGAAAACAUGAAUAAAACACAAAAGAAUAGGUUAACACAUCCUUUGAUUUUGGGUUAUGUUCAGAUAACCCUUGAUCUUCCAGAAUCGGACUUUAUUGGAUUAAUUGGAAUGACUGAAUAUCUGAAAGACAUUUAGCCUGUAUUGUUGAGAUGUAGCACAAUCAUAUUGAAGUAGAAAGCAAUGGUUUAGAAACCCUUUCCACCAUAACCCAUAAGGUAAAAUGCAAAUUCAAUUUUUGGCCAGCAAUGUAAACUCUAACAUUGAUUGAUCCCGCAGAAGGUUGGUUAUAGGCUAUUCAUAUUUGUCUUCUAAUGCCUCUGAAUCUUAAAGUAAUCCAAAAGUAACGGAUACAUUUAAAAAGUAACCUUACAUGGUUUAUUAGACAUAAUGAUGGUUUACGUACACAAGUGAAAAUAUUGCAACAUCGCAG
ensembl:lncRNA